rnacentral:lncRNA from 1 species
AACACACGCACACACAUUUAUUUACCCGCAACAGUUGAUUGAAGUUGUUGUACACCUCAAGGUCGGCGGAAAUAUAUCUGUCAGGAUUGACUAACAAGGCCAACACUUCUGUGUAGAGCUGAGAUAUCAGGGCUGAACAUGAUGUAUGAUGUUCUGUGCAUGUAUGAUAUAACAGAAAGUAGAUUCUUGGUGCUAAAUGAUCAGGUAUCCGCUGAUGAAAGAAAUUCAAUUCUCUACUCUACGCUGAACAAAUAAAUAAAAAUUGAAUAGAUAAAUGUCAAGGAUCACUUAUUCCAGAAGUCUUCAAAAGCACAAAGGAAGUAAAUUGUUGCCAGGGAGAAAAAUUACAGCAAUACCACUGCUUGUAGUUCAGUGAUUUUCAGAGAGACGCAAAUAUAACCAAACAUGAACCCACACACAAACAUACAUGUGUAUAACAGGAAUGCACUUAGAAUCGGUCAUAAUUUUUGUUUACUCCAGCAAAUCUCUUGUUUCUUUCCUCUGAACAGAAACUCUGAAUUAUUGAACUAAUUAAAAAAUAGUGUUGUGAGCCAUUUUUCUUUGUCGGAGCAAUAGCGAACAGCGAAAAAUCCUCAGUCCUUUAUUGGUUCUAAGAUUCACACCUUUACCAUUUCUGACUGCUUGUUCCAGUGCCACAACCAAGAACACUGAUUUUUUUUUCAAUUAUUUGCCAUCAAAUGGACUUUGUUCAGUGUUUUGAGCAAGCGUUUCACUUUGUGCACAACACCAAAACAAAAGCAGUUUCGUCUCUAUCAUAUAUUUGAUCAGAAUUUUCUUCUUCUUUGAUGCAACAAACCAAGCCAGUUCCUGAACAAAAUAUUCUGCUUCUAAGCCUGCACUCCUCUUUUCCAUCUGAUACACUGUGCAGUGAAAUUUUUAUGUCUACUUCUAAAUUUGUGCAACCUUCCAUGCAAAUAUUCACACUAAACAUUUUUUGGCCUGUUCAACGAUAAUGCUGCUAGAAAUAUUCACAACUUCAGAUGUAAGUUACUCUAAAGCAGUUUAUCAGAGAACUAUCUUUUUUCACCUUUUAUUUUGAUCAGAAAAAGAAAAAAACUUCUAAAUUUGUUCUUUGUGUUUCUUUAAAUCAUAAAUGAUAGAAGAACUAACUUCACACAAGACAUACAUGUCACACAUUUAUUUAACUUUUCAAACAGCUCCAUAUUUUCCAGCAUUGACAAUGAUUUGUGCUUAUGUUUUUCUACUUCCAUUGUGGCUUGUAAAGUGUCUUAAAAGAAAAAGUCUUGCUAAAAUAAGAGUGAAAGGAACAAAUCACAGACAAUUCAAUUGAUGCAAAUGAGGGCUUUGCAACAUGAUGAAGGCAUUGUGUAACUUAGCAUAUCAUCUAUGAGGAAUGUUUUAUUUGAUCUGCAUUAAUUAGGAAAAAGGUUGAAAACAAGCCCCUUUUAAAAAGAUUAAGGUGGUAAAUUUCAUGUGGUAAAACCAGGGUUUAGCUGUGUAGAUUCUGAAAAUAAUACCAGUUAUAUAAAUGACUAUUUGCACAAUAGCAUCUUAUUCUUUGUUAGAAGAAUAACCAUGAAUCAUAUGUGAAUA